rnacentral:rRNA from 1 species
AGAGCGAACGCUGGCGGCAGGCCUAAUACAUGCAAGUCGAACGGAUCCUUCGGGAUUAGUGGCGGACGGGUGAGUAACACGUGGGAACGUGCCUUUAGGUUCGGAACAACACAGGGAAACUUGUGCUAAUACCGGAUGUGCCCUUCGGGGAAAGAUUUAUCGCCUUUAGAGCGGCCCGCGUCUGAUUAGCUUGUUGGUGAGGUAAAGGCUCACCAAGGUUACGAUCAGUAGCU